rnacentral:rRNA from 1 species
GCACAGAGUUAGCCAGUGCUUCUUCUGUAGGUAACGUCAAUACUUAUGGGUAUUAGCCAUAAAUCUUUCUUCCCCACUGAAAGUGCUUUACAACCCGAAGGCCUUCUUCACACACGCGGCAUUGCUGGAUCAGGCUUUCGCCCAUUGUCCAAUAUUCCCCACUGCUGCCUCCCGUAGGAGUCUGGGCCGUGUCUCAGUCCCAGUGUGGCUGAUCGUCCUCUCAGACCAGCUACGGAUCGUCGCCUUGGUAGGCCAUUACCCCACCAACAAGCUAAUCCGACGUAGGCUCAUCUUAUAGCAUAAGGCCCGAAGGUCCCCUACUUUGCUCCGUAGAGAUUAUGCGGUAUUAGCCCGAGUUUCCCCGGGUUAUCCCCCACUAUAAGGUAGAUUCCUACGCAUUACUCACCCGUCCGCCACUCGUCAGCGACUAGCAAGCUAGUCCUGUUACCGUUCGACUUGCAUGUGUUAAGCAUGCCGCUAGCGUUCAAU